AGAAAAUGCCCAUAGUCUAUUAAUCCACUUGGAAAAGAGAAAAGAAUUAUCCCCAUCAGAAAUUAUUAUUAUUUAUUGUUUGUAUUACAGUGCGUAGAAGCUUGGGACACUCUAGUUACUUUCUUGGACAGAAUCCCUGGUAUUUCUUGUGGCUUGGCCUUAUAAGAAUGAGUCACCCAUUACUUUGUCUGGACUACCUAAAAUAAAGGCAUCUAACCUUAAGAAAAAAUGGAGGUGGACAUUUUAUAUGGCACUGAAUAGAGCAUGCUGAUCACUAUCAACAUUCCCAGAUGACUGCUAAUACAGAUACUCAAGAUUACUGAAACAGAGAAGAACAACUCAAGCCAGAAGGGAAAAAGCACAAACAAUGACAACAACAAGUUGUUCUUCUGCCUUUCUGAAUAUGCCUGUCAAGAUGAGACAACAACUAGCAUAGGCAUAUUUUUCCCUAGGGAAUAAUGGUAAUUUAAGUAGAAUUGCUCUACAAAUCUAUUUACCGCAGCUAUCAGAACUAUCUAGGGGCUAGAACAUUGCACUAGGCCAUUUCAUCAGAUCAACAUGAAUCACGUCAAUCUAAUUGAAUGACUGCCAGUUAAUAGCCUGUAGCCCAAUUCAGCUAUGCCCUUGUUAACCAUAAAACAUUUAAAAACCUGCUAAUUGUUUGAAAGGUUUCACCAAGUGGGGGUGGGAGACAGGGCAGGACCAUAUAUCAUGUGUUGAUAUUUAGCAGUCCAGUAAGAUGAAACAGAGAUUGAGGUUCUUUUUAAAUAAGAAAACAUCCUUGAAGUUAAAGAAAGGCUUACAGUAGGGAGAACACAGACCAGUUUUUGUCAGGAUUGGCUGAAUGACCAAACAAUAAUAUCUGCAAUUUCGCCAGGAGCUAUUACGUUUUGGUCAGUCCCCAAAGUUAAUGUUCUGAUCACCAAUUUCCUGUUCUGAGAGUUCCCUGUUAUAUAGUGACCCCAUGUCAGUAACAUCAUUUAUCAGUGUUUUACAGGGCCUGUCUAUAUUUAUACAGGACGAAGCACAAAGUGGCAUCAUUCUCGGUUGACUCCCUAGGCACAACUGUAAUAAAAAUGUAUAAUAAUGUGGUGGGAAAUGCAAGCCUGAUUUUAUUCAAUGCUAAGCUCACCUGCCAGGGUACUUCUAUUAUUCUUUAUUGCCAGUGAAACAUAAAAUAUUGAAAGCCUUAGGAAGCUGCACAGCAUUGAAGAGAAUCAAAAUUUAGCAUUUUUCCCCUCCUCAAGCAGACCUUAUGCCCCAGCUCUGAUCCGUAUCAAAAGUUGUCACCAGCCAAGCACAUGCAGCAAUGGACUGAUGGAGAAGUUGGUGAUUAUGGAACUGCAAAUUUGGUACCUUCAAAAGGAAGAAACUAAACAUACCUUGUCAAAUGGAUGAAGCAGAUUUGGUUCUCAAACCCCUCAGAUCUCAGGGAAUUGUCUGGAGACUGGGACCAUGCCUAGAGCGGUGAUUAAAGCCCAAGUCCUACAAACGUUUACACAGGUGCUUAACUUCAAUGGGAUUCCUCAAAUGCUUAAAGCAAAGUAUGUGUGUAAAUGUUUGCGGGAUUGGGGCCUAAGCGUUUAGCUUUAUACUACUCAGAAAAUGUAAAAUGCCACAUGA